CAACCCUCAAAAAUUUCUAUAUAAUAACAAUGAUACAGUCCAAAAAAAUUAAAUAACAUAAAUAAGUGGAAACACAUAUUUACGGAUUGAAAAACAUAACAUUGUUAAGAUACUACCCAAAGCAAUUUAUAAAUUUCAUCCCUUUCAAAAUCCCAAUGACUUUUUUGUAGAAGCAGAAAGAUUUAUCCUAAAAUCCAUAUGGAAUCUCAAGGGAUCCCAAAUAGCCAAAAAAAUCUUGAAAAAAGAUAAAAUUGGAAGUCUCACACUUCCUUAUUUCAAAACUUGAAAGAAUGAAAAAGGUUCGUUGUUGGAGAAAAUACCCAUUUAUUGAGGAACAGCUCUGCAUAUUUAUAGAGCUGGGGGUGAUUUGACAGUUAUGACAGUUUAAUGGUUGAACGGUUCUCAACAGUUGGUAUGGGGUGCUUUCUGAUUGGUGGGUAAGGAUCAUGUGAGCCAGCAGGGCUAGUCUGAUUGGUGGGUAAGGAUCAUGUGAGCCAGCAGGGCUAGUCUGAUUGGUGGGUAAGGAUCAUGUGAGCCAGCAGGGCUCACCAUUGGAUGGCGCUUCUCGGGGGAUGGGGAAGUUAGUCUUUGGAGCCAGGGCGACUCUCAAUUUAUAACAAAGCUAUGGUAAUCCACGUAGACAAACUUAUAGACCAGUGGAAUAGAAGAGCCCAGGAAUAAGCCUUUUCAUGUAUAGUCAAAUGUUUUUCAAAAAGGGUGGUAAAAUCAUUCAAUGGGAAAAGGAC
rnacentral:lncRNA from 1 species